rnacentral:rRNA from 1 species
UACAGAGGGGGCGAGCGUUGUUCGGAAUUACUGGGCGUAAAGGGCGCGUAGGCGGCCCGCUAAGUCGAACGUGAAAUCCCCAGGCUUAACCUGGGAACUGCGUCCGAUACUGGCAGGCUUGAAUCCGGGAGAGGGAUGUGGAAUUCCAGGUGUAGCGGUGAAAUGCGUAGAUAUCUGGAGGAACACCAACGGCGAAGGCAGCUCGCUGGGACGGUACUGACGCUGAGGCGCGAAAGCGUGGGGAGCGAACAGG